UACGUAGGAGGCGAGCGUUGUCCGGAGUUACUGGGCGUAAAGGGUGCGUAGGCGGGUCUUUAAGUCAGGGGUGAAAUCCUGGAGCUCAACUCCAGAACUGCCUUUGAUACUGAGGAUCUUGAGUUCGGGAGAGGUGAGUGGAACUGCGAGUGUAGAGGUGAAAUUCGUAGAUAUUCGCAAGAACACCAGUGGCGAAGGCGGCUCACUGGCCCGAUACUGACGCUGAGGCACGAAAGCUAGGGGAGCAAACAGG
rnacentral:rRNA from 1 species